rnacentral:rRNA from 1 species
UACGUAGGAGGCAAGCGUUGUCCGGAAUCGACUGGGCGUAAAGCGCGUGUAGGCGGAUCGCUAAGUCUGUGGUGAAAGCGCCUGGCUUAACCGGGCGAGGUCCAUGGAAACUAGCGGUCUGGAGGCCGGUAGAGGGGGUGGAAUUCCGGGUGUAGUGGUGAAAUGCGUAGAGAUCCGGAGGAACACCAGUGGCGAAGGCGGCCCCCUGGGCCGCGCCUGACGCUGAGACGCGAAAGCGCGGGGAGCGAACGGG